rnacentral:rRNA from 2 species
UAGGGAAUCUUCGGCAAUGGGGGGAACCCUGACCGAGCAACGCCGCGUGAGUGAAGAAGGUUUUCAGAUCGUAAAGCUCUGUUGUUAAGGAAGAACGAGUGUGAGAAUGGAAAGUUCAUGCUGUGACGGUACUUAACCAGAAAGGGACGGCUAACUACGUGCCAGCAGCCGCGGUAAUACGUAGGUCCCGAGCGUUGUCCGGAUUUAUUGGGCGUAAAGCGAGCGCAGGCGGUUAGAAAAGUCUGAAGUGAAAGGCAGUGGCUCAACCAUUGUAGGCUUUGGAAACUGUUUAACUUGAGUGCAGAAGGGGAGAGUGGAAUUCCAUGUGUAGCGGUGAAAUGCGUAGAUAUAUGGAGGAACACCGGUGGCGAAAGCGGCUCUCUGGUCUGUAACUGACGCUGAGGCUCGAAAGCGUGGGGAGCGAACAGG